ACGAACCGUAGUCCGUACCAGCGAUACAGAUCCAUGUCGCCUCGUACUUCUCGUCAAACUCCUUCUUCAAGGUCGAGGCGACCUCCUUGUGAGGCUUCUUCUUCUGUAAAGAAAGGUGACUCAAGUUGUGACAGGUUUCGAACCUCCUGCUGUGUUAACUGGAAUGUCAAAGAGGACAGAAGUAGCUGGAGAUCUUCCAUCAAACUUUGAGGUUUGAAGUGAAAGCACGUCUAACCCUCACAAGACAAGGGACAGCUGACAACAAACUUAGGUGAGUGAGUGUUGAUACGGUUUCUUUGACUUUGACUUUAUUGACGAUGAGACAAGUCAUUACAAGGGUCUGCCUAGGCAGCUUUGGGCUGGUAGCGGCAGAACCUACAAAAAUGCGGACGAACAUACAAGGAAUUCAUAACAGGAAACAAUACAAUAUAAUGCAAUAAAAUAAUCAAUAACUAUAAAAUGUCAUGCAA